AUUUAGCCAGGACACCAGGGUUAACACCCCUACUCUUACAAUAAGUGCCAUGGGAUCUUUAAUAACCUCAGAGAGUCAGGACACCCGUUUAACGUCCUAACCCGAAAGACGGAACCCUACACAGGGCAAUCACAGCCCUGGGGCAUUGGGGUAUUUUUUUUUAGACCAGAGGAAAGAGUGCCUCCUUACUGGCCCUCCAACACCACUUCCAGCAGCAUCUGGUCUCCCGUCCAGGAACUGACCAGGACCAACCCUGCUUAGCUUCAGAAGCAAGCCAGCAGUGGUAUGCAGGGUGGUAUGCUGCUGGCAAUACUGCUGGCAACUGAAGAUGAAAUAAAAAUCUACUUCAAACAGCCAAUAGAAAAAAGUCUGAGGCCCGAAAAACAGGUGGGGAUCCACCAGCACUCAGAGGCUGAAGAAAUGGCCCUCAGUCAAAACAGUGGGCGACCUAUUGCUGAAGGCAUCUCUGGAGGAAGCUCAUCUGAACCAACCACUCCCCAGGACACAAGGGCCUACAUGAGGAGGAUGAUGAAGACACCUUGUCAGUUGCCACAGAGAGGGAAGAUGGCCUAUUGAGAGCAAUGUUGGAAAUUACAGGAGGAACAGGGUCCAUCCACCUCCACAGCACAACUUACCUCAGAAAUGAAGACUCCAUAAAAAGAAAGGCAUAUUGUCUUUAUUUGACACGGGAGGAGAUGGGUCAAUCAGAAAUGCUGUGUCUAUGACUACUCUUCCAUCUCGUGUGUCAGCGGGGUGGUCAGGAUCGUUAUCAGGAUUGUGCGCUGGUUGAGUAGGACAUUGUUCUCCUCUAAUUGUGGAAAUGUUGUGGAGAAUCACACAUGCCACAAUGAUGUCACAUGCCCUUUCUGGGGUGACCCUGAGCCUACGAAGGCACUGGAACCAGGCCUUGGGCAUCCCAAUUGUCAUCUCUACCUCAGGAUCAGGGUAAGGGGUCAGCAAAUAGGACUGGCAGGUUUACCCUCUGUCACCGAGCAGGUAACCAUCGAACUGUCCUAUGAUAAUACGAGGAUACAGUUUUGUUCAGUUGCAAUUGGAGGAAACAAAAUAUUGUAAUAGGAUAUAAUAAGAUAUAGCUAUAUACACUACUGUUCAAAAGUUUGGGGUCAAUUAGAAAUGUCCUUGUUUUUAAAGAUUAGAUUUUUUAAAAUGUCAGUUUUAUUGCUUCUUUAAAAUCAGAACAAUAGUUUUCAGCUGUGCUAACAUAAUUGCCAAAGGGUUUUCUACUGAUCAAAAAGCCUUUUAAAAUUAUAAACUUGGAUUAGUUAACACAACGUGCCAUUGGAACACAGGAGUGAUGGUUGCUGAUAAAUGGGCCUC
ensembl:lncRNA